GUUUUACCAGGGGCUUCCUGUGGAGCUCAGCCACUUCCCACACCGCUCGAUUCCUCUCUUGACUGUGUUGCCUUUUAACAGCAGGAGGAAACUGUGAGAUAAUAAUCUGGAAGAACCAGAAGAUCAGUGACAGCAUAACAUCAGCAUUGACACAGAGAUGUCGUUUCAACUGAAAAAGCAAAACAACAAAGACCAAAAUUCUCUUCUGGCAUAGAAUCUGUUGCUGUCGGCUGUGACAUGCAGCCCAAUGUGGGAUCUUGCCAGCUGUGCUAGAUGCCCCUUGGGAUGAGUUUCAUCCAUUUGACCAGAGAGCAGAAACAUCCCAGGUGAUGGGGCUUGACAGAGGCUUAAAGUGACCUCCUGCCUCCAAAGCUUCUGGGUGCCAUGCAGACGUAUGCAGCGUACACUGUGCAAUGUAAGUCAACCCUGUUCCAGCCACAGUCUUGGCUUCUGUCUCAU
ensembl:lncRNA